rnacentral:rRNA from 1 species
CCCCAAGGACACAAGCCAUGCAUGCCCGCACACCCGGGAAGCGGCGGACGGCUCAGGACAACGGUUGCACCCCCCGCGGCGGUCCCUGCUAGCCGGACACCGCUGGCAACCCGGCGCCAAGACGUGCGCGCAAGUGCGGGCGCCCGCGGGCGAGCAGCGUGACGCAGA